GGGUAUUCCAGAAAGCAGGUUAUGUGACAUACCUGGGUAUGUUUAAGGGUAAGUUCGUGGAUAACCUCAACUUUCGGUUCCAAAAACGGAGGUAACUUUCUGGUUAUGUAUGUAACCAUAGCAACUGACUCUCUGAAGAUAACCUGCUCGGGAGCAGGUUAUGUUUCAGUGUAACUUCGGCGUGCCCUUUUGAUGAGGAUCCUUUGGACGUAGAAGCACAAAAUAUACGAGUAUUUUUCGUCGGGAGAGGGUUAUAAGACCAAGUAUUGAUGUUUGCAUACCCUAAUGAAUAUUUGAAAGAGCGUUAUCGUUUCUCAAAAGAUUCGUUCGUUUAUUUAACACGUCUUUUAAAACCGCAUAUCGCAAAUGUGAAAAACCGCGCGGUUCUGCGCUUAGCACAGAAAACAUUUUUUGUACAGUGUGGGCGAUUAGGGGCAUGUGGGAAAGGCGACUGUGUGUAAAGCCGUUCGUACAGGAUUCCAAAUGUAAUUGGGUGCAUUGAUGGCACUCACAUUCCUAUUAAAGCUCCACCAAUAAAUGAGGGAGACUGUGUUAAUAGGAAAUCUAUUCAUAGUAUCAAUGUGCAGGACAGUACAAUGGUUACUUGCUGGGGGACAGAGGAUACCCUUGUCUGCCCUAUUUAAUGACACCCUACUCUGAACCUGAGCCUGGACCACAGACACGGUUUAACCUGGCUCACAGCCGAACACGGGCCA